GGCCCAACUGAUUGAACGUGCUUGCACGGACUUGACGUUGGUUUACCAGCGAGUGGCGGACGGGUGAGUAACACGUAGGUAACCUGCCCCAAAGCGGGGGAUAACAUUUGGAAACAGAUGCUAAUACCGCAUAACAAUUUGAAUCGCAUGAUUCAAAUUUAAAAGAUGGCUUCGGCUAUCACUUUGGGAUGGACCUGCGGCGCAUUAGCUUGUUGGUAGGGUAACGGCCUACCAAGGCUGUGAUGCGUAGCCGAGUUGAGAGACUGAUCGGCCACAAUGGAACUGAGACACGGUCCAUACUCCUACGGGAGGCAGCAGUAGGGAAUCUUCCACAAUGGGCGCAAGCCUGAUGGAGCAACACCGCGUGAGUGAAGAAGGGUUUCGGCUCGUAAAGCUCUGUUGUUAGAGAAGAACGUGCGUGAGAGCAACUGUUCACGCAGUGACGGUAUCUAACCAGAAAGUCACGGCUAACUACGUGCCAGCAGCCGCGGUAAUACGUAGGUGGCAAGCGUUAUCCGGAUUUAUUGGGCGUAAAGCGAGCGCAGGCGGUUUGAUAAGUCUGAUGUGAAAGCCUUUGGCUUAACCAAAGAAGUGCAUCGGAAACUGUCAGACUUGAGUGCAGAAGAGGACAGUGGAACUCCAUGGUGAA
rnacentral:rRNA from 1 species